GGAAGAACGGCACUUCUGACAUCAGAGGCUCCAGCUGAAAGGUUCCAAAUCUAGGAGCUGGAGUCCAUGACUCACAGGAAGAGAAGAUUAAGACACAGAGAUACCAGAGAGGUCGUUCACAGAGGAAAGACCAUGUGAAGACGCAGUGAGAAGGUGGCCAUAUUCAAGCUGAGGAGAGAGACCUCAGAAGAAACCAAUACUGCCAACGCCUUGGUCUUGGACUUCCAGCCUCCAGAACUUGGACUCUACCUUCCUUCCCCUGAUUCUCAUGAGAAUCUGAUCUUCGCUAAAGUGGGCAAGGUCCUGGAUCAGAAGAUGCCUGACAAGAGGCCACUAUCAGCAGCAACAGCACAGUGGGGACAAACCUGAGACCUUGAUGGACCGUGGACACCAGCAGGAGAGACAGAGGAACUUGAAGUCUAAAUGGGCAGACAAGACCAACAUACACAAAGCAGAGAGUGGCACAAGAGCCAUGUCUGAUGCAACAGUGACUCAGGAGGAUCACUCUGACUCAGAAUGGCCAAGCAAAGGUUAGCGUGUUAAGUCUCUGAAGCUGAUUAACGGCUUAACUCAAGUUUUCGCACCUGCAGACCAGUGACCCCCCACCGCCGCCCCCCCGCAAGGCAUCUGUUUGACGUCUCUUUAAUUUUAUUAGUGGCUUAUGGACAAAAUCACUUGACUUAACCUUUUUCAAGUGUAAGUUAUUUGGAUUCACAAGAGCAUUUUUCUCCCUGUUAUAAAUCAAUGAACCCAGUUAAGAUUAACUGCCUACAUGUGAGCUUCAAAAGAUCUUCUAUGGCCAGGCAAAGUUGAAAGAAACACAUAAUUCCAUAACAUGCUAAACACAAGUUGAUCAAAGUUUUUGGAGCUGGUUACUUAAUGCUGUACUUCCUCAUUCUCAAACAAUCUGAUUUCAAGUAGUUUGUGUCUAAAACAUAUAUUACUAGACUGCAAACAUUCAUCCUUUGGAAGAAAAAUCAUUUCUGUAUCUUAACUGGUCAAAAUCUAUGUUUCAACAGACCUAAACUAAACUCUGGGCUAAACAUUCCUGAACCUAAUUUGUGAAAUUCCAUAAUGUUUGGAGAUUAAAGCAAAAAGAAAUGAAAAUAAAAGAAA
rnacentral:lncRNA from 1 species